UGGGGAAUUUUGGACAAUGGGCGAAAGCCUGAUCCAGCAAUGCCGCGUGUGUGAAGAAGGCCUUCGGGUUGUAAAGCACUUUUGUCCGGAAAGAAAUCCUUGGCUCUAAUACAGUCGGGGGAUGACGGUACCGGAAGAAUAAGCACCGGCUAACUACGUGCCAGCAGCCGCGGUAAUACGUAGGGUGCAAGCGUUAAUCGGAAUUACUGGGCGUAAAGCGUGCGCAGGCGGUUUGCUAAGACCGAUGUGAAAUCCCCGGGCUCAACCUGGGAACUGCAUUGGUGACUGGCAGGCUAGAGUAUGGCAGAGGGGGGUAGAAUUCCACGUGUAGCAGUGAAAUGCGUAGAGAUGUGGAGGGAUACCGAUGGCGAAGGCAGCCCCCUGGGCCAAUACUGACGCUCAUGCACGAAAGCGUGGGGAGCAAACAGGAUUAGAUACCCUGGUAGUCCACGCCCUAAACGAUGUCAACUAGUUGUUGGGGAUUCAUUUCCUUAGUAACGUAGCUAACGCGUGAAGUUGACCGCCUGGGGAGUACGGUCGCAAGAUUAAAACUUAAAGGAAUUGACGGGGUCAUAGCUGUUUCCU
rnacentral:rRNA from 1 species